UAGUUCGUAAAGUACACUGGGGACCUGUC
rnacentral:piRNA from 1 species